UACAGAGGAUGCAAGCGUUAUCCGGAAUGAUUGGGCGUAAAGCGUCUGUGGGUGGCUUUUUAAGUCCGCCGUCAAAUCCCAGGGCUCAACCCUGGACAGGCGGUGGAAACUACCAAGCUGGAGUACGGUAGGGGCAGAGGGAAUUUCCGGUGGAGCGGUGAAAUGCGUAGAGAUCGGGAGGAACACCAGUGGCGAAGGCGGCUUCCUGGCCUGUUCUUGACGCUGAGGCGCGAAAGCUAGGGGAGCAAACGGG
rnacentral:rRNA from 1 species